ensembl:lncRNA
GAAAUAUCUUUCCUUGAGAAAAUUGGUAGGGAUUUGGUCAAUGGACUUGAUGGAGCCAAAAUAUUUCACCCAAGAACUUAAGGGAUUAGAACAAGCUUCAUAAACACUGUACUCUUUCUCCCAAACUGUGGUCCAUGGGCUGUGGGCCUUUUUUUUUCUGAGCCAUGUAAGGAACUGCAUCCACUAAUACCAUUUAUUCCCACAAAUUUCUAACUAUCCUAUCAAUUGUUUCAUUUUCUAGAUGUCUGCAAAAACUAAAGAUAUUUUCCAGCCAUUACCAUGCUCUCAAGCCACAAGCUCAAAAGCAAGAGAUGAUACAAAAGCAGUGCAGCACGAGGAUAUUUACCUCCUGUGUUGGUACUGGAGAUCUUACAUGGUCAAAUCUGAAAAGAAGAUAUCCUUAAGUGAAAUCAAGACAGACGUUGCAUGUGUGAGAUGUCUGAGAAGUUCUCACAUGCCAUGCAGGUGUUUACCAACCUUCUGGACCAAAUGUGUGAGAAGAGUGUUAGGUGAGACUGUGUUAGCUGCUGUUCAGAAACACAGCAAAAGAGGUGUACAACUGUGAUAUUGUGUUGAAUUGGUUGGGAAAAAAAAAAAAAAAGGCUAUGUAUGGAGGGGAAAGAAGAAUCACUUUUUUCCUUUUGAGAAUGGAGAGCUGAGGUUUAGCUUUCUAAGCCUUUGGUGAAACCUGAGGUUGUAUUCUCAAAGCAUCUCAGCCCCCAUCACACUUUGAGAUAAGGCUUCUCAGCCAUAAAACACAAAGUUAUUUGUGAAAUUUGUGUUGAAGAGAUUUGCUCAAGGAUAAAGGUCUUUCUUCGGGGACUCUAACAUCAAAUCCUUUAGAAUCCUUUCAGACCCUAAGAGCUCUGCUUCUGUAGCAAUAUCCACAAACCAAAGGAGGAUGCCACAAUCUGGGUUGCCAAUUUGAUAUCAUUAAAAUUCUAAAUUACAAUUCUCCCUUAGCACCUGGUCAUUUCCCAGGUACACCAAUUGGGCCAGAUCUAGGAUGGAAAUGACAUUUUCUGUAAUGGUUUGUUUGGUUUUACACUGUACAUUAAGCCCAACCCUAAAGAAAACCAUGGCACUAAAGCUCCAUUAACUAUAAAGAACGGUGAUUCAUUUUUUUUGCCCUUCAAAUGAGAAAAGGUCUUGAGUAGAGUUAAAGAAGAUGCACAGCAUUGUCAUGAGCACUUCCUGAUGGAGCUAUACUUUAGCCCACAGUGGGUUUCCUGGGUUGAUCCUUACUUAUCUGCCAUGUUUUGAUGGUAUAGCUGAUGGCUGCCUACUUGCCUACAUUUCCAUUUAUUGCUUUCUUCUAGCACAGACCCAGCUCCUAUUCCCAGAACAGAAAGAAUUGUGAUCUGGUUCUGAGAACUCAUGUCAGAAGUUAUAAUAUUUUGCAUUUGCUAAUAAACUUUGAAAAACCUCCCA